rnacentral:rRNA from 1 species
GAUGAACGCUAGCGGCAGGCUUAACACAUGCAAGUCGAGGGGUAGAGGUUGCUUGCAACCUUGAGACCGGCGCACGGGUGCGUAACACGUAUACAAUCUGCCUUUUACAGGGGAAUAGCCCGGAGAAAUUCGGAUUAAUGCCCCAUAAUAAAUUGAAUGGCAUCAUUCGAUUUUGAAAGCUGAGGCGGUAAAAGAUGAGUAUGCGUCCUAUUAGCUAGUUGGUGAGGUAACGGCUCACCAAGGCCACGAUAGGUAGGGGAUCUGAGAGGACUACCCCCCAUACUGGUACUGAGACACGGACCAGACUCCUACGGGAGGCAGCAGUGGGGAAUAUUGGACAAUGGGCGCAAGCCUGAUCCAGCCAUGCCGCGUGAGUGAUGAAGGCCCUAGGGUUGUAAAGCUCUUUUGUGCGGGAAGAUAAUGACGGUACCGCAGGAAUAAGCCCCGGCUAACUUCGUGCCAGCAGCCGCAGUAAAAC